GCCCUGGAGGACUAGUGGUUAGGGCACGGCGCUCUCACCGCAGAGGCCCAGGUUCAGUUCCUGGCCAGGGAA
rnacentral:tRNA from 1 species